UACCUGGGGCUGGGUAGGGCUGCUGGGACCCUUGCUGUGAGCACCAGGACCUGCCUGGUCCACUCCCAGGUGGAGGCUGAUGAGGCUGCCAGGGAUAGAAAAUGGAUGGCACCCGGGCGAGGGACCAAGAGGAGGGUCCCCGUCCAGGGCUCACCUUCCUCCAUUGGUCUUGCAGGAUUUGGAGCACCCUGGCAAUGGUCCCCUCUAAAUCUGGUGGGCCCAGGCUUGGUGUUCCAGCUCCUGAAAGCACGUGAUUGCAAGGAGAUGACGUUGCUUCUGCAGAGAAAAGCGGUUUUUGACUAAGUGCCAACAUAACAAAAACCACCAACAAAGACCCUCCUCCUGUUUUCUUUGGAAAAAACCCCUCAUGACUCGGGCAAACAAAGUCACGCUGGUUUGAAUGCCCGGCUGGCAUCAGCAAGGGCUUGAUGUGAGCAGCGAGGGAAGUGAAAAAGCUUUGCAUUUGUGUAAGACUGCAAAAUCGGGUUGCCAAACAGGAUAUAGGCUGGGAAACCAGCUGGGCGAGGAGGCUGUGGCGAGCUGGCCGUCUUGCUCGGGUGCAUCGCUUCCUGGUGCUUAUAAUCCUAUUUACGAUAAAUGGUAGUUAAUCUUUUUGGUGGUUCUCUGCUUAUUUAGAGAC